rnacentral:rRNA from 1 species
CUAAAACWAGGAUUAGAUACCCUGGUAUAUACAAAUUGAGAAGAUUAUUAUAAGUAAAGAAAUUUAAGGAUUUUGGCGGUUAAUUAUUAUUUAGAGGAGCUUGUUUGUAGAAUUUACUCUUUAUAUUUUAUUAAUUUUUGUUUAUUUAUCUCCGUUAUUAGGUAUAAAUUUUAUAAGAAAAUUAAAAUUACUAAGAUUUCAGGUCUAGAUGUAGCUUGGAUUAAGGUUAAUUAGCUACAUUUAUAAUAUAUGUAAAUUUAUAUUUAAUAGUAGUAAAUAAUGAAAUUGAAUUUAAUUGUAAUUUUAUUUAUAAAAAUAAAAUGAAAUUUUAUAGUUAAUGUUCAUAUUGCCCGUCACUUCUUUUGGUAAAUAGAAUAAGUCGUAACAAAGUAAAAUUUAAGGGA